GGCCUUUUCUUUUUAAAAUAAUAUUCUAAUAACAAUGUACAUAUUUAUAUUUAAAACUUAAUUCAUUAUUGAGAACUUGCAUAAAUGUUAGCUCACUUAAGUUAUAUUUUUGAUAUAUGCUUUUUUAACACUUUAAGUUUGAAUAUAUAUGUCAGUUGUCAACUCUGAGCAUUUUUUUUUAAUGUUUGGAUAGUUUGCCUGCAUAUAUGCCUAUAUACCAUGUGCAUACCUAGUGACUAUGGAGGCCAGAAGGGAAAUGAUUCCCUGGAAGUGUAAUAACACAUGGUGUGAGCCCACCAUGUGGAUGCUGGGAAACGAAUCAGAGUACUGUGGAAGAGCAACCAGUGUUGUUCACCUCUCAGCCACAAGCCUUAAUCAUUCAUUCAUUCAUUCAUUCAUUCGUUCAUUUUUAUGAAUGUGGGGUAGAUGUCUUCAUACACUAUAGGAGAAGGCAUCAGAUCUCACCACAGAUGAUUGUGAGCCACCAUGUGGUUGCUGGGAUUUGAACUCAGGACCUCUGGAAGAGCAGUCGUACUCUUAACCAUUGAGCCAUCUCUUCAGCCCCCAAUUAAUUCUUAAUGCUGCUUAAUGUCUCUUAAAAUUUCUGUAGUUGCUUUAUACAAAUUUUUGUUUAGUAACCUAUUUAUUUAUUUAUUUUGGUUUUUUAAGACAGUGUUUCUCUGUGUAGCCCUGGCUGUCCUGGUACUCACUCUGAAGACCAGGCUGGCCUUGAACUCAGAAAUCCUGACUCUGCCUCCCAAGUGCUGGGAUUAAAAGCGUGCGACAUCACUGCCUGGCUUCCUUUUUUUUUUUUUUAAAGACAAGGUUUCUCUGUGUAUCCCUGGCUGUCCUGGAACUUGUAGACCAGGUUGUCCUCAAACUCAGCAUGUUUCUGCCCCGAGUACUAAAUGGUACUAAAGGCAUGUACCAUCAUGCUCAGCUCUGAAUUUGAGUUGAAUAUAUAAAUUUACCCAGACAAAAACAGACACUGCCCUACAUGAGGCUCAAACUUACAACCCAGGGAUUAAGAGUUCCAUGCUCUACCAACUGAGCUAGCCAGGCCUCUAAUUACCUAGUAUAGCUAUUAAUUUGCCUCUUGAACUUUUGAGUAUUGAGAAAGAAGAGUUCAUGUGCUAAUUUAAGCCAAAGGAUUAAUCAACUUUUCUUUUAUAUAUGUUGAAGAGACUUUAGUAGGUGAAGAUUAAUAUAAAUUUAUCUUGGAGAACUGGAUCAUUGUUUCUAUAUUUUAUCCAGAUUAUUGGUUUAAAUGUUUUUAAGAAAAUCUUCUAUUUCAUGUUUUACAAUUUCAUACAUGUAUAUACAGUGUAUCUUAAUUAUAUCCACCCACCCUUGACCCUGAUCUGCCUUCCCACCUCUUCUGGAAGUCCCUUAAAAUGUAUCCCUCCCUCCCUUCUGGUAACCCACCAAGUCCUGUCAGUGCUGCCUGCUGGAACAUUAGCUGGUCUUGCUGGCGUGGUUUUAUGCAGUUAACAGAGCUGCAGUGACUUCAUUAGUACAGCAGCCAUGUCAUGUCAUGUUCCAUCAAGAAGAGCUUUUGAAAUCCUCUGACUCUUCGAUUUCUUCUAUGUUUACCAAAUUAAGUAUUUUUAUAUGAAGUCUGUUAUUUCUCCAAAAUUCAUUCUUAAAAUACUUUAAUUCUCAUACAAAGGCCAAAGUUAUCCUGUGCCUAUAUGCUUUUGUAGAGUAGUGCUAUAACUUUAGAAUAGAUUAAUUUUAAAUAAUUUUUGUAACUUUUAAACUCUGCUUGGUUUUUUAUUUUUACUGUAAAGACUUUAUGCAAAAGAGUGUUUACUUAAAUGAAUGUGUCUGUGCACCAUGUGGCCUACAAAAGCCAGAAGAGGGUGUCUUAUCCUCUAGAACUGGAGUUACCGAUGGUUGUGAACUGUUGCAUACGUGCUAGAAAUCAAAACCAGGUCCUCUGCAAGAACAGCAAAUGUUCUUAACCACUGAGCCAUCUCUCCAGCUCCUCUGUUGUUCUUUUUCAACUCUACAAAGUAUUUGUCAAAUCAACCAGUGUUUCUUUAGGUCAAGCUACAGGUUUUCUUUUCUCUGGUGUGUAUGCCCAGUAUAUAAGGAGAUCAAAAGAGAGUAUCAGAUCCCUUGCAACUGGUGGUACUGAUGGUACUGGUUGUGAGACACCAUGUGGAUACUAGGAAUCAAAUGUAGGCCUUCUGCAAGAGCAACAAACACUUUUAACCACUGGGCCAGCUCUCCAGGCCUUCUUAAUUUUUAAAAGACUUUAUUUUAUAUGUGUGCAUGAUGUGCCUAUAUUAGUGUGCAUGAACAUCAGUGAAUGGCAUCUGAUCCCUUGGAGUUAGAAAAAUCCCAGAAAGUAAUCCACAGCUGCUUUGUGGGUUCUGGAAACUUAACCCAGGUCUUCAAAAAGCUGUGUCCACACACACACACACACACACACACACACACACACACACACACACACACACACACGAUGUCCACUGAGCCAUCUCUUCAGCCCUUACAAUAUAUUCUUUGUUUCUUUUGUUAUAGUGAUGUUCGUUUUAUCUUCUGAUUGCUUUUUGCU